AUGAACGCUGGCGGCGUGCCUAAUACAUGCAAGUCGAGCGAACGGACGAGAAGCUUGCUUCUCUGAUGUUAGCGGCGGACGGGUGAGUAACACGUGGAUAACCUACCUAUAAGACUGGGAUAACUUCGGGAAACCGGAGCUAAUACCGGAUAAUAUUUUGAACCGCAUGGUUCAAAAGUGAAAGACGGUCUUGCUGUCACUUAUAGAUGGAUCCGCGCUGCAUUAGCUAGUUGGUAAGGUAACGGCUUACCAAGGCAACGAUGCAUAGCCGACCUGAGAGGGUGAUCGGCCACACUGGAACUGAGACGCGGUCCAGACUCCGACGGGAGGCAGCAGUAGGGAAGCUUCCGCAAUGGGCGAAAGCCUGACGGAGCAACGCCGCGUGAGUGAUGAAGGUCUUCGGAUCGUAAAACUCUGUUAUUAGGGAAGAACAUAUGUGUAAGGAACUGUGCACAUCUUGACGGUACCUAAUCAGAAAGCCACGGCUAACUACGUG
rnacentral:rRNA from 1 species